rnacentral:SRP_RNA from 1 species
GCUGGGCGUAGUGGCGCACGCCUGUAAUCCCAGCUACUCAGGAGGCUGAGACAGGAGAAUCGCUUGAACCCAGGAGGCAGAGGUUGCAGUGAGCCGAGAUCGCGCCACUGCACUCCAGCCUGGGCGACAGAGCAAGACUCUGUCUCAA